rnacentral:rRNA from 1 species
GACGGUAGGGCGCGAGCGUUGUCCGGAUUUAUUGGGCGUAAAGAGCUCGUAGGCGGCUUGUCGCGUCGGCUGUGAAAACCCGGCGGCUCAACUGUGGGCGGGCAGCUGAUACGGGCAGGCUGGAGUUCGGUGAGGGGAGACUGGGAAUUCCUGGUGUAGCGGUGAAAUGCGCAGAUAUCAGGAGGAACACCGGUGGCGAAGGCGGGUCUCUGGACAGUUCCUGACGCUGAGGCACGAAGGUCAGGGGAGCAAACAGG